rnacentral:rRNA from 1 species
UACGUAGGGGGCUAGCGUUGUCCGGAUUUAUUGGGCGUAAAGAGCGUGUAGGCGGCCAUGUAGGUCCGGUGUGAAAACUCGAGGCUUAACCUCGAGAUGUCAUCGGAAACCAUUUGGCUAGAGUCCGGAAGAGGAGAGUGGAAUUCCUGGUGUAGCGGUGAAAUGCGCAGAUAUCAGGAAGAACACCAAUGGCGAAAGCAGCUCUCUGGGACGGUACUGACGCUAAGGCGCGAAAGCGUGGGGAGCGAACAGG